UGGUGUGGCUCAAUUGGUAGAGCACCCGAUUUGUAAUCGGGCGGUUGGGAGUUCGAGUCUCUCCACCAG
rnacentral:tRNA from 1 species